GGGGCGUCGGCCGAGUUGGGACUCCGCGAUGCAGCUCCUGAAGGCGCUCUGGGCACUGGCAGGGGCCGCGCUCUGCUGCUUCCUCGUCCUAGUGAUCCACGCGCAGUUCCUCAAAGAAGCAAGAAUCAUCAAGACCAAGCAGUGGUGUGACAUGCUUCCGUGUCUGGAGGGGGAAGGCUGCGACUUGUUAAUCAACCGGUCAGGCUGGACGUGCACGCAGCCCGGCGGGAGGAUAAAGACCACCACGGUCUCCUGACAAACACAGCCCCUGAGGGGCCCCGGGAGUGGCCUUGGCUCCCUGGAGAGCCCACGCCUCAGCCACAGUUCUCCACUCGCCUUGGACUUCACCCAUUCUCUGCCGCCCGCCCACUCCGUUUCCCUGUGGUCCGUGAAGGACGGCCUCAGGCCUCGGCAUCCUGAGCUUCGGUCUGUCCAGCCGACCCGAGGAGGCCGGACUUGGACACACAGGCGGGGGGCGGCACCUGGCAUCAGCAAUACGCAGUCUGUGGGAGCCCGGCCGCGCCCAGCCCCCGCCGACCGUGGCGUUGGCCCUGCUGUCCUCAGAGGAGGAGGAGGAGGAGGCAGCUCCGGCAGCCACAGAAGGCUGCAGCCCAGCCCGCCUGAGACACGACGCCUGCCCCAGGGGACUGUCAGGCACAGAAGCGGCCUCCUCCCGUGCCCCAGACUGUCUGAAUUGCUUUUAUUUUCUUAUACUUUCAGUAUACUCCAUAGACCAAAGAGCAAAAUCUAUCUGAACGUGGACGCACCCUCACUGUCAGGGUCCCUGGGGUCGCUUGUGCGUGCGGGAGGGCAAUGGUGGCAGAGACAUGCUGGUGGCCCCGGCGGAGCGGAGAGGGCGGCCGUGGUGGAGGCCUCCACCCCAGGAGCACCCCGCGC
rnacentral:sRNA from 1 species